rnacentral:misc_RNA from 1 species
CGAGUACAAAAUAGUAUCUUCCAUCCUAAUGGGUUAUUUUCUCUGUUUAUCUUAUCUAUUGGUUGCAAAUUUGCAAUGCAAUGCUUCUAAUAUCAAAUGUUGGUUUGUUUUGUUCCUGAAUCCUAUUUUAAACAAAUUAAAGCUUUGCUUACUUUUAUAUGUACUUUUAAAAUUAAAAGAAAAUUUAUUUUUUUCAAAUGGUUUCGAAAUGUGGAUUCUCUUCUUUCCAUGUGGCAUCAUUGUGAGUAGUUGAAUUUGUAGGUGCAUUGUUUUAACCAAUUCUAUAUCAGUACUUUAAUUUGAUUUGUUUGCCUUCUCA